GACAGAGGUGCCAAGCGUUAGGCGGAAUCACUGGGCGUAAAGCGCACGUAGGCGGACCGGAAAGUCAGAGGUGAAAUCCCAGGGCUCAACCUUGGAACGGCCUUUGAAACUCCUGGUCUUGAGUUCGAGAGAGGUGAGUGGAAUUCCGAGUGUAGAGGUGAAAUUCGUAGAUAUUCGGAGGAACACCAGUGGCGAAGGCGGCUCACUGGCUCGAUACUGACGCUGAGGUGCGAAAGCGUGGGGAGCAAACAGG
rnacentral:rRNA from 1 species